UACAGAGGGUGCAAGCGUUAAUCGGAAUUACUGGGCGUAAAGCGUGCGUAGACGGUUGCGUAAGUCAGAUGUGAAAGCCCCGGGCUCAACCUGGGGAUUGCAUUUGAGACUGCGUAGCUAGGGUGCGGAAGAGGGAAGCGGAAUUUCCGGUGUAGCGGUGAAAUGCGUAGAUAUCGGAAGGAACACCAGUGGCGAAAGCGGCUUCCUGGUCCAGCACCGACGUUCAGGCACGAAAGCGUGGGGAGCAAACAGGG
rnacentral:rRNA from 1 species